AUUGAACGCUGGCGGCAUGCUUUACACAUGCAAGUCGAACGGUAACCGGCCUUCGGGUGCUGACGAGUGGCGAACGGGUGAGUAAUGCAUCGGAACGUGCCCAAUCGUGGGGGAGUAACGUAGCGAAAGUUACGCUAAUACCGCAUAAGCCCUGAGGGGGAAAGUGGGGGACCGCAAGGCCUCACGCGAAUGGAGCGGCCGAUGUCAGAUUAGCUAGUUGGUGGGGUAAAGGCCUACCAAGGCGACGAUCCGUAGCUGGUCUGAGAGGACGACCAGCCACACUGGAACUGAGACACGGUCCAGACUCCUACGGGAGGCAGCAGUGGGGAAUUUUGGACAAUGGGGGGCAACCCUGAUCCAGCCAUUCCGCGUGAGUGAAGAAGGCC
rnacentral:rRNA from 1 species